GUCUGUGUCAUGUGUGUGUGUUCUGUGUCAUGGUGUGUGAGAGAGAGAGAGAGAGAGAGAGAGAGAGAGAGAGAGAGAGAGAGAGAGAGAGAGAGAAAGAGAAUGUGUGGACAGACCCUGUGUGUGUGUGUGUGUGUGUGUGUGUGUGUGUGUGUGUGUGUGUGUGUGUGUGUGUGUGUGUGUGUGUGUGUGUGUGUGUGUGUGUGUGUGUGUGUGUGUGUGUGUGUGUGUGUGUGUGUGUGUCGGCGUGUGUAUGUUGGUGUAUGUGUGCGGCCUUACUAGGGGUCCCACAACAGGGCUCAGGUGCAUGAUUCUAGGGGGUCGGCGGCCAUCUUGGAUUCUGAUCUACUCCACACUAUCUGCUGGGGAACUCCAGAUCCAGGGCAAAAGCCAGGUUUUCUAACUCUCUAGCUCCGGUUCCUCUCCUUAGUUCACUAGCUGAGGCGAGCAGCACUUUUUUUUUUAUCAAAUACCGGCACGGGUCGGUUGGUUUUCAGUCGGAGCCUGCCUCUGUCUACCUUCAGUAUCACCUUCGGAAAACUUGUUUUCCAAAAAAAUCGACCAGACUGGAAUAAAGACAUGGUUGUGGGUGGGGGCACGAGUGGUACGGGUGUGAGAGGACGGGGGCUACGAGUCGCUCCAGAGUUUCCUCACGACUCCGGAGUCAUGGGUCAGAGUCGAGCUUGUGGGGGGGGGACUCACGCUCGACCAAUCAGGGAACAGCGUUUUAAACAGUGGGCGGGGCCAGGCGCGCCGCCACAUUGUUAACAUGUCGGUACUUUGUUGACAUGUGAACACGUGACGACAAUGUGGAAUACCUCUCAAAGUACACUGGAAGUCGAGACUUUCGAUUUCUCAAUUAAUUAAUUAUUAAUUAACGUUUUUUGUUAAUGAAAGUAAUUGAUGAGAGCUGCACUCUGUUUGAGAUUCUAACUCAGGACCGCCACCCCCCACCCUGGGAGGGGGGUCUUCCCUACCUCCAGGCCUGCUAGUGCUCCGUGCGGUCGGGGGGGGGCGGGGGUCAUAAGGGGCUGCUGUCACACUGCGCUCCGUCGCCCCCCUCUUCCGGCCCCCCUCAUCACCCUCAGCCACUCCUCAAACGGGCGACUAGUCUGCUUUAGUUUAUGAAACACACGGGGGCCGACACGAGGCAGUGCGCUUUCUGAAUUCUGUUGAAAAAAUGCUGAUUUAGUCUGCCCUUCAAACUAGAGUAUCUCCUUUCAAAAAAGAAGAAGGAAAAAAAACGUUUUUCCUGUAUCACGGAAGAACACCACAGUAUUUCCAAUCAAACCGCUGACUUCUGAACAGUGGCGCUGGCUCGUAUGGCUGGGCUGUGUUCAGGAGAACCGCUGGGAGUUAGCGCUGGGGUGGGAGUUUGCUGGAGGGUGGAAGUUUGCUGGAGGGUGGGAGUUAGCCCGAGGCUAGGAGUUAGCUCUAGGGUGGGAGUUAGCUCUGGGACAGGAGUUAGCUUUAGGCUAGGAGUAAGCUCUAGGGUGGGAGUUAGCUCUAGGUCGGGAGAUAGCUCAAGGCUAGGAGUUAGCUUUAGGGUGGGAGUUAGCUUUGGGUGGGAGUUAGCUCGAGGGAGGGAGUUUCCGGCGAGCCGAUUAAGGUGCUGUCGACGUCGACAGAGGUUCGUCCCCGCGGCUAAUCUGGGAGCUUUGUGAAGGCAGGACAAGGCAGGCACUGGGUGCACAGGCAGGGAGAGGCAUGUACACACACACACAUGCACACGUUUGCACACAAGCACACACGUACGCUGGCACGCAGGCACGCACAAACACACACACACCACACACACAAACACACGCACAAACUAUGCCCUCUCCUCAGCCCUAUUCACACACAGCAAGCAUUUAUACAAUUAUGUGUUUGUAUUUGUGAUUUGUGUUUUUUUGUGUGCGUGUGUGUGUGUGUGUGUGGGUGUGUGUGUGUGUUUGCGUUGGAUGGGGCGGAGGUGUUGAAGAGUGCAAAGUGUACAGUGCUGUUGUGUGUGUUUGGGUGUGUGUGUGUGUGUGUGCAUGUGUGUGUGUGUGUGUAUGGGUUUGUCCCGAAACAUGUUCCAUCAAUUCACAUUUCUCGAAAAACCAGAGGUUUCCGUUGUCGUAGUGAUUUACAGUCCUUUGCUUCUGAUUGGCCGGCUGAAUGUUCCGAAGUAUCAGUCGACGAGUCUUAGUUUGCAAACACAGCAUUAGUUAAAGAUUUUUUUUUUGUUUGUUUUCGUUACUAUCAAGGAAAAUCUCCAACAACGAUUUUUCAGAAUCCGAACACAGUGAUUAUUAUUUUUUCUUCUUCUUCUUCUUUCAGGUGUGUGUCCACACACCCGGAACCCUGUCCGGGGGUCUCGAGUCCAAGGGAAGGUUUCAGCGCUUUGUGUGUGUUGGUGUGUGUGUUGGUGUGUGUGUGUGUGUGUGUGUGUGUGUGUGUGUGUGUGUGUGUGUGUGUGUGUGUGUGUGUGUGUGUGUGUGUGUGUGUGUGUGUGUGUGUGUCUUUCAGUUCCUCUGUGAAUAUGUACCUGUAGCU
ensembl:lncRNA